GCAGGUAUAGUUUAACCCAAACAUUAGAUUGUGAUUCUAAAGAUAGAAGUUAGACCCUUCUUACCUACC
rnacentral:tRNA from 1 species